rnacentral:rRNA from 1 species
GAUGAACGCUGGCGGCGUGCCUAAUACAUGCAAGUCGAGCGAACGGACGAGAAGCUUGCUUCUCUGAUGUUAGCGGCGGACGGGUGAGUAACACGUGGAUAACCUACCUAUAAGACUGGGAUAACUUCGGGAAACCGGAGCUAAUACCGGAUAAUAUUUUGAACCGCAUGGUUCAAAAGUGAAAGACGGUCUUGCUGUCACUUAUAGAUGGAUCCGCGCUGCAUUAGCUAGUUGGUAAGGUAACGGCUUACCAAGGCAACGAUGCAUAGCCGACCUGAGAGGGUGAUCUGCCACACUGGAACUGAGACACGGUCCAGACUCCUACGGGAGGCAGCAGUAGGGAAUCUUCCGCAAUGGGCGAAAGCCUGACGGAGCAACGCAGCGUGAGUGAUGAAGGUCUUCGGAUCGUAAAACUCUGUUAUUAGGGAAGAACAUAUGUGUAAGUAACUGUGCACAUCUUGACGGUACCUAAUCAGAAAGCCACGGCUAACUACGUG